AGUGAACGCUGGCGGUAGGCCUAACACAUGCAAGUCGAACGGCAGCACAGUAAGAGCUUGCUCUUACGGGUGGCGCGUGUCGGACGGGUGAGGAAUACAUCGGAAUCUACUUUUUCGUGGGUGAUAACGUAGGGAAACUUACGCUGAUACCGCAUACGACCUACGGGUGAAAGCAGGGGAUCUUCUGACCUUUCGCGAUUGAAUGAGCCGAUGUCGGCUUAGCUAGUUGGCGGGGUAAAGGCCCACCAAGGCGACGAUCCGUAGAUGGUCUGAGAGGAAGAACAGACAGAUUGUCAGAGAGAAAGGGUCCAGACUCUUACAGGGAGACACAGCGGGGAAUAUUGCACAAUGGGGGAAUGCGUAAUCCAGCAAUACGGGGUGAGGGAAGAAGGACUUCGGGUGGGAAAGCGAUUUAGUUGGGAGAGAAGAACAGCAGGUUAACACCCCGCGGUAAUGACGGUACCCAAAGAAUAAGCACCGGCUAACUCCGUG
rnacentral:rRNA from 1 species